rnacentral:tRNA from 1 species
GUACCCUUAGCUCAGCUGGAUAGAGUACUUGACUACGAAUCAAGAGGUCGAGGGUUCGAAUCCCUCAGGGUACG